CACUGCACUCCAGCCUGGGUAACAGAGUGAGAGCCCAUCUCAAAAACACCAAAAACCAAAAAACAACCUCAGAGGAGAUUGCCUAAGUCCACAGAGCAAGAAAGGAAAUUGGGGCAGAGUAAAGGGGUGAGUUUCUUCUUCUACCUCUGGCCAGUGUGUAAGGAUGGGAUGCUCAGAGCUAGCAGUACUUUGGGCCCAUGAGGUCAUGCUAAGCAUGGCACAGCAGAAAACUGGAAACAUUUUGGAUCCUUGAUAACACUGUUGAGUUACUGCAUUAACCAAGUCUGCAGCCAAACCGCUUUGAGGCUUACUUCUGUGGAAAAUAAAUCUUCUCGUUGAGCUGAGUUUUCUGUCAUUAGCAGCCAAAGGAAUCCUAACUGAUAUACUGAGCAAGGCAUUCGUUAUUCACUCGGUUAAUCCAGACUUAAAUCUAGUUACUAAAUCUAAAUUUUUAUAAAAGUUACUUACAGAUUAUUUAAUAGUCAUAAUAUUUGUAAAACAUUAUGGUAGAAAAUGCUGUGAGAUUAUAAUUACAGUUAUAAUUAUAGGAUGGAAGAAUUACUUGUUUGAAUUUAUUCACGUAUCAUGCAUUUCAUGAUCUCUUCCUCUGUACUCAGCACUGUGCCCUCUCACAAGAUCAUCACGGGCUAGUGACAAAUGAUCAGAUACAAAAAUAUACUAUGAGUCAGCGGAACGUGCCACGCUUUAAGGCAGACAAACAUGCAGCUGGCCCAUGGGGAGGGAGGAAGGACUAGAGGGACACGGGGACGGUUUUUCAAACCAGGCAAGUGGAGACGAGAGCAGAAAGAAAGAGCAGCUUGCGCAAAGGCCCUGGGUCUCUCAGAUCACGUGGAAUCUCUUGAUCGGUUCCACAUGGACCAGCUUCUGACACCCUGGCUGCAGAACAGAAGCGGCGGCUGGGAGAGCUCUGCCCUCUCUCACUAGCUGGAAUCCCGUCUCCAACUCUCUGCAGCCGACUCCAUCUGCGCAUCACUCCGAUCUGUAUUACAGUGAUUACUCCGGCGUCUGCAUCUCGUCCUGAGGUCCUGAACUUUGGGAUGGCACCGACCAUCUGUGACUGUCCGACUCAAAACAUCGGUGCCUGGCACAGGAAGCAUCUCAUUCUGUCUCUCCUCACCCCCCUUAUGCAUUUCACCCAUCACCAAGGCCCAUAGAGUCUACCUUGCAGCGUCUCACCAAUUCACCUGUCUCUCUAAGGCCACUGGCACCUCAUGCCAGCCCUACUAAUGGGCUCCUUCCUUCGCCCCUCCUCCAGUCUAGUCAAUAUGUUACCAAAGCAUUAUCCCUCUCCACUGCUCUGCCCUUCAAUCAUCUGUACCACAAAAUGUGACUCAAUAAAUUCAAGCUGCUAUUCCAAACGUGGCCUCAUUUGUCACACCAGCCUCAAGCUUCAUCUCGCACCACUCAGAGUCUGCUCCACACCAAACCCAGCAGGACCAGGUAGUAUUUCCACAUCUGCCCCUCGCGUUCCUGCCCC
rnacentral:lncRNA from 1 species